GGCCGUACGGGGCGCAGCAGGCGCGAAAACUAUACAAUGCGGGCAACCGUGAUAAGGGAACCUCGAGUGCCUGUACAUGCAGGCUGUUCGGGUGUCUAAAACACACUUGAAGAAAGGGCCGGGCAAGACCGGUGCCAGCCGCCGCGGUAAUACCGGCGGCUCGAGUGGUGGCCACUUUUAUUGGGCUUAAAGCGUUCGUAGCUGGGUUGUUAAGUCUCUUGAGAAAUCUGGCAGCUUAACUGUCAGGCUUUCAGGAGAUACUGUCUGGCUCGAGGCCGGGAGAGGUGAGAGGUACUUCAGGGGUAGGGGUGAAAUCUUGUAAUCCUUGAAGGACCACCAGUGGCGAAGGCGUCUCACCAGAACGGACCUGACGGCAAGGGACGAAAGCUAGGGGCACGAACCGGAUUAGAUACCCGGGUAGUCCUAGCCGUAAACGAUACUCGCUAGGUGUCGGCCACGGUGCGACCGUUGUCGGUGCCGUAGGGAAGCCGUGAAGCGAGCCACCUGGGAAGUACGGCCGCAAGGCUGAAACUUAAAGGAAUUGGCGGGGGAGCACCACAACGGGUGGAGCUUGCGGUUUAAUUGGAUUCAACGCCGGAAAUCUUACCG
rnacentral:rRNA from 1 species